GUCCCCGUCGUCUAGCCUGGUUAGGACAGCAGAUUUUCGAUCUGCUAGCAGGGGUUCAAAUCCCCUCGGGGACG
rfam:Omnitrophica bacterium RIFCSPLOWO2_01_FTLL_50_24 rifcsplowo2_01_scaffold_3873, whole genome shotgun sequence.